rnacentral:rRNA from 1 species
GCAUAUCAAUAAGCGGAGGAAAAGAAACUAACAAGGAUUCCCCUAGUAACGGCGAGCGAACCGGGAAUAGCCCAACUUGAAAAUCUCCCUUUGGAGAAUUGUAGUCUAGAGAAGCGCUUUCUAGGGCUGGCGGAACUCAAGUCGGAUCGAAUGCCGCGUCAGAGAAGGUGAUAACCCCGUCGGUUCCUGCUUAGUCCUUCCACGAAGUGCUUUCCACGAGUCGGGUUGUUUGGGAAUGCAGCCCUAAUUUGGAGGUAAAUCCCUUCUAAGGCUAAAUACUGCCGAGAGACCGAUAGCGAACAAGUACCGUGAGGGAAAGAUGAAAAGAACUUUGAAAAGAGAGUUAAAAGUGCUUGAAAUUGUUGAGAGGGAAGCGAUUGGCGCUCGUAGGUGCGCCCAGGCUUAAGCGGUCCUAACGGCCCGUUGAAUGUGCUGGGUGCUGGUCAGAAUGGGUUGAGUUGGCGGGACAAAAGCUGGGUCCACCCAGGUAACCCGGCCGAUGCCGCCGACUCGACCAAGGCGUAAAGAGUACCUUGUCCUUCGGGAUCUGUGCUCUAAAGAUUCUGGCAGAAGAGCGCCAAUCGACCCGUCUUGAAACACGGAC